AAUGGGCGAAAGCCUGACCCAGCAACGCCGCGUGAGGGAAGAAGGUUUUCGGAUUGUAAACCUCUGUCGCAGAUGACGAAGGAAGUGACGGUAAUCUGUGAGGAAGCCCCGGCUAACUACGUGCCAGCAGCCGCGGUAAUACGUAGGGGGCGAGCGUUGUCCGGAAUUACUGGGCGUAAAGGGUGCGUAGGCGGUUAAUUAAGUUGGAUGUGAAAUACCCGGGCUUAACCCGGGGGGUGCAUUCAAAACUGGUUAACUAGAGUUCAGGAGAGGGAAGCGGAAUUCCUAGUGUAGCGGUGAAAUGCGUAGAUAUUAGGAGGAACACCAGUGGCGAAGGCGGCUUUCUGGACUGACACUGACGCUGAGGCACGAAAGCGUGGGGAGCAAA
rnacentral:rRNA from 1 species